rnacentral:lncRNA from 1 species
AACGUUUAAGAUAUUAAUUAAAAUGCACAUUCCAGCAGAAGAAAAUAAUGACAUGCGCUUUCUCCAAGAUAAAUGACGACAAGCUAUUAAUUAAAAUACACCUACUCCUAAUUAAUUCAGUACUUGAAAAUUCUAAAGAAAAUAAAAGAUGAUGCUUCCACAAUUUUAACGUAACAACUCCUCCAAAAUGAAAAUAAAAAAAAUGCACAUUCUUCACAAACUUCAAUCACCAGUAGCUACAGGACAUGACCGUGCUUAAAAAAAAAUAAUGAAAAGCCAAAUAGUAAAAGGAAUUAAAGUCCAACAUCACCCAAAAUCCAUCUUGAAAUCCCGUGUGCUUCCUUCAAUGAAAAAAAAAAGUUCCCAACCAAAGCCGUGAAUCUUUGCAUUCAAUAAAUAAAAUAAAAAAAUCACUUCCAAGCAUUAAUUUCAUUCCAGCAAGGAAACUUAAAAGCAAGUGACAGCAAGUUCCAUUUUCAUUCCUCCCAAGCAAUGUUAAACAAAGCCUAACAAAAAAAAAUAAAAUAAAAUCGGUGUGGCCCCUGCUGCUCUACAUUCACAUUCAAGAAAGCUCUAAAAAGAAAUAAAAACAAAAGGUGCGGCUUCUUCCUUCACCCCUGUAUACCAACGUUCAAAAUCUCGAGGCAAAGAAAGAAAAUGUCAAAAGCUUUUUCCUCCUAUUUUUUAUUCAAUAAAGAAAACUCAAGAGCAAAACAAAACGUUGUAGCCAGUUAAAAGAAAAAAAGGAAUUGCUUUCUUUAUUCAACCCAUGGAGCAAAAACCGAGAGUCACAUUUUUCCUCUAGAAAACGUUUCAGCAUCACUCCAAAAAUCUGCUGCCGAGAGAAAGUGUAGCCUCUUUCAAUGUGACGGCUGCUAGGUCUCAAAUCCCUAGGCCAUAAGUCACUAAAAGUAGGGUGGGGUCCACCCAAUAACCCUAGGUAGGACAUGUGUCUCACAAAGUGUUGGGC